rnacentral:rRNA from 1 species
UGACCUCGGAUCAGACGUGAUUACCCGCUGAACUUGAGCAUAUCACUAAGCGGAGGAAA